rnacentral:rRNA from 1 species
GACGAACGCUGGCGGCAUGCCUAACACAUGCAAGUCUAGGGGUAGCAAUACCACUGGCGCACGGGUGAGUAACACGUAGGUUAUCUGCCCCCAUCACAGACAUAACCCCGGGAAACCGGGGCUAAUAUCUGAUGAGGUCGCGAGAUCAAAGCUUCGGCGGAUGGGGAUGAGCCUGCGGCUGAUUAGCUAGUUGGUGAGGUAAUGGCUCACCAAGGCGACGAUCAGUAGCUGGUCUGAGAGGACGAACAGCCACACUGGAACUGAGACACGGUCCAGACUCCUACGGGAGGCAGCAGUGAGGAAUAUUGGUCAAUGGGAGCAAUCCUGAACCAGCAAUGCCGCGUGUGGGAUGACAGGGCUUCGCCUUGUAAACCACUGUCGGACGGGACGAAAGGAGGCCCUCGGGGCCUCUGGGACGGUACCGUCAAAGGAAGGGUCGGCUAACUACGUGCCAGCAGCCGCGGUAAU